GGGGAAUUUUCCGCAAUGGGCGAAAGCCUGACGGAGCAACGCCGCGUGAGGGAAGAAGGCCUCUGGGCUGUAAACCUCUUUUCUCAAGGAAGAAGAUCUGACGGUACUUGAGGAAUAAGCCACGGCUAAUUCCGUGCCAGCAGCCGCGGUAAUACGGGAGUGGCAAGCGUUAUCCGGAAUUAUUGGGCGUAAAGCGUCCGCAGGCGGCCUUUCAAGUCUGCUGUUAAAGCGUGGAGCUUAACUCCAUUAAGGCAGUGGAAACUGUUGGGCUUGAGUGUGGUAGGGGCAGAGGGAAUUCCCGGUGUAGCGGUGAAAUGCGUAGAUAUCGGGAAGAACACCAGUGGCGAAGGCGCUCUGCUGGGCCAUAACUGACGCUCAUGGACGAAAGCCAGGGGAGCGAAAGGGAUUAGAUACCCCUGUAGUC
rnacentral:rRNA from 1 species